GAGGGUAUGGAGGUGGAAUGUACGGAUCUUCUGGGAUGUAUGGAGGUGGAAUGUACAAUAGUGGUCUUGGAAGCCAGAUGGGUGGUAUUGGAAUGGGCAUGGGUGGCCCUUAUGGAGGUCAAGAUCCAAAUGAUCCAUAUGGUGGUCCUCCAUCUCCACCAGGGUUUUGGAUUUCAGUACUUCGGGUGGUAAGCAUUUUGUGUUUUUACUUGUUUAUACUGUCAUAUUCUAUGGAUCAAAAAUGCAUAAUAUAAUAAACAAAUGUAUUAUGAAAGUAGUAAGGUAUAAUAGACUCUCAAGCUUUCUAAAUGAAUGUGUCAAAAUUAGUAUAACAUGAAUCAUAUUGUUUGCCGGUUUACCUUGUUUUCUGGAGCCUGCUUAUAGGGCAUCUGUAACUCUUUUCUUUUGGAUGGGGAUUGGUAGAACAAGAAAGGGAUGUGCUUUUUAACACCCCCUAUAAUAAUAAAUAAAAAAAUUAAUUAGAGUUAUUUUGGAAUUUUGGUGACUUUCAUAUGAUUACUUAUUCUCAAUUUUUCCUUUUAUGGCAGACGCAAGGUGUGGUAAACUUUUUUGGUCGAAUUGCAAUUCUCAUAGACCAGAACACCCAGGCAUUCCAUAUGUUCAUGUCUGCACUUCUUCAGGUAAUCAUCUGUCAAUGCAUCUCUUUAUUUGUCGUCGGUGUAGAAUCAAAUUUUGUUCAACACUUGUGAAAUGAAUUAUUUCUUAGAGAAGCCCAUCAUUUUCAAUCCUAGGCAUGGAGCAUGCAGUAGAGAUUCUAAAGUCUGACAUAUUUUAACCGGAAGUUUAAUGUGGUGGUUUAGAAUAUCUGGCAAUCUUACUUUUUGGUUACAUCUUGCCACCUUCCUUUAGCAGAUGAUAUUGAAAUGGCAACUGGAGGAAUUCCCAUGUAUAAGUUGCUGUAACUUUCAUGCAAAAAGCACAGAAAGUUCCUUUAUCUUAUUAAAGAUGUGGUGACCGGUUUGAUAGCGCUUUCAUAUCCUCGCUUCUUCGGGGUGGAAUGGAAAACCAAUGGCCAUAGCUUUGGAAUUAUUUUGCAACUUCUUAGCUCCAUUUAAGCAUUUUCUAACUGGUUGUCAAUACUUUGGUGCAGCUUUUUGAUCGCUCUGGAUUAUUGUAUGGAGAGCUGGCUAGAUUUGUAUUAAGGAUACUGGGAGUUAAAACAAAACCCAAUAAGGUUCAUCCACAAGGUCCCAACGGGGGUCCUCUCCAUGGACCCCAUGGACCCCAUGGACCCCAGAACUACAUCGAGGGUCCAAGACCUGCUCCGAGUGGUGGUUGGGACAAUGUUUGGGAAAAUGAUACCAGUAAAUGAUGGGACUUUACAAAACAGUGUCAUCUUGCUUGCCCCCCUGUGAAUCUUGCUUGCAUUUAGAGAACCAGAAAAGGAGAAAAGGAUCUCUUCCAACCCCAAUUUGAGUGAACGGAAAUGCCAAUAUGAAUGUUGAUGUGGUGUCAUGUAGUCUCUGCAGCUCGUG
rnacentral:lncRNA from 1 species